rnacentral:rRNA from 1 species
GACGAACGCUGGCGGCGUGCUUAACACAUGCAAGUCGAACGGAAAGGCCCUGCUUGCAGGGUACUCGAGUGGCGAACGGGUGAGUAACACGUGGGUGAUCUGCCCUGCACUUCGGGAUAAGCCUGGGAAACUGGGUCUAAUACCGGAUAGGAGCCAUUUUUAGUGUGAUGGUUGGAAAGUUUUUCGGUGUAGGAUGAGCUCGCGGCCUAUCAGCUUGUUGGUGGGGUAAUGGCCUACCAAGGCGGCGACGGGUAGCCGGCCUGAGAGGGUGGACGGCCACAUUGGGACUGAGAUACGGCCCAGACUCCUACGGGAGGCAGCAGUGGGGAAUAUUGCACAAUGGGCGCAAGCCUGAUGCAGCGACGCCGCGUGGGGGAUGACGGCCUUCGGGUUGUAAACUCCUUUCGCUAGGGACGAAGCUUUUGUGACGGUACCUAGAUAAGAAGCACCGGCUAACUACGUG